rnacentral:misc_RNA from 1 species
UUAUCAUUCUUAGUCUGAAUUUAUGAAGAACACUGAAAUUUUAACAUUUCAUAUACACUAAGAUACUGUGUGUUUAGAUUUGUGAAUGGAGACCACUAUGAGAGUGUUUCUGUAUUAACUAUCCCGGGACUAGAACAAUCUACCAGUUCCACAGUUUGUUAUUGAUGUAUCUGACGAUAAAGGACAGAAGAAGCAGCUGGAUAUAAUAUUGAAGGAGCAGCUGAAUGAAGGAGAAAAGAAGCAGCUGGAUGAAGGAGAGAAGAAGCAGCUAACUGCUCAACCUUCAGGAGGAAUGAAGCAGUUCAGUUGUAAAAUAGCAAUCACUGUUGGAAAGCAUGUUAGCAAUUUAACCCUCAGAAAUGUGUUGAACAAAAUUGUCAAAGUCCAUAAGCUUUAUCGGUUUAGAAGGAAUAGUUACAGAUGCACUUUGAAGAGUUUAAGUGAUGUAGAAAAGCUUUUGAGCCAAUCUGGUAGAAUUUAUUUAUCUGGAAAAAGUAUCACCUUCACUGUAGUUAAAAUGUAUCAUCCUACAUGUAAUAAUCCUGCACCAUCUUUAACAAAAACUGAGAGUUGUGAUCUUCUGUAUGAAAACCAAGAUGAUUUGAAGAGAGGAAAUGAUGAUAAAGUCAACAUUCUACCAGCAAUUAAAUCUGAUUGUAAUAUAAACUUUGAUUCUUCAGAGAUUGUGACAGAUACAGAAGAACAGUCCCUGAAACAAUUGUGGAUGGAGGAAAACGGUGCAUAUUUGGAAUGUUUUCGAAGAUAUGGAGGCAAUCAUGAAGAGAUUAAGGCUAUUUUGAAUUCAAAUGCCAACUUUCUCAACAGUGAUGCCUUCUUUUAUUAUGCAGAGGAAAUCUGCGAAUUUGCAAAAGAAAAUUCACACACAACAAGUCUGGUUCUGGACCAUACAGAUGAUAUACUGAAAAAAGUUGUAAGUAAUUUUCCAGACAUAGAUCAUCAACAGUUCACAAAACUUACAAAUAAUCUGCACAGUUUAAGGCAGUCAAUAGUUCAAAGAGAGGAGUUAGUGUUUUUAGACUCUGAAAUCUUGAAGUAAAGAAAAAUGGUUGUAGACUGGAGUGCAUUAUAACAGAAAAAAACUCUUGACAAUUGUGUUGAGCAGGACUGUUCAGAUGAGAACAUGGAGCCUAGAGAGUUCAUUGAGAAUGUGAGGCCGGAGAAUGGUGUCAGCCCGGUUUUAGAUUAUAUGUGCUACUUUUAGCUCCAGGAACAGACUAUAGUACAGUACAGUAACCUGAUGUUCAGAUCCCUCUGAGAUAAAACAUGUUUUGCUUAUGGAAACAGGACUGACUGAGAUACCGGUCAACUAGAGCAAGUUGAAUGCAGUAUAUAGACGGCUAAGCGGGACAGUAACAAAUGGGUCAUCUUCUGCUAUAACAAUAAAGUUUUCCUUGUAUUGUUUA